UACGAAGGAUGCAAGCGUUAUCCGGAUUCAUUGGGUUUAAAGGGAGCGUAGGUGGCCUUAUAAGUCAGUGGUGAAAUCUCUCGGCUUAACCGAGAAAUUGCCAUUGAUACUGUAGGGCUUGAGUAUAGUUGCCGUUGGCGGAAUAUGACAUGUAGUGGUGAAAUACAUAGAGAUGUCAUAGAACACCGAUUGCGAAGGCAGCUGACGAAACUAUAACUGACGCUGAGGCUCGAAAGUGCGGGGAUCAAACAGG
rnacentral:rRNA from 1 species